rnacentral:rRNA from 1 species
CAGUAGCCGCGGUAAUAGGGAGGGGGCUAGCGUUGUUCGGGAUUACUGGGCGUAAAGCGCACGUAGGCGGCUUGGUAAGUUAGAGGUGAAAGCCUGGAGCUCAACUCCAGAAUUGCCUUUAAGACUGCCGAGCUAGCAGGUGAGAGAGGUAAGUGGAAUUCCGAGUGUAGAGGUGAAAUUCGUAGAUAUUCGGAAGAACACCAGUGGCGAAGGCGGCUUACUGGCUCAUACUGGACGCUGAGGUGCGAAAGGGCGGGGAGCAAACAGGAUUAGAUACCCCCGUAGUCCCUGUCUCUUAUAC